rnacentral:lncRNA from 10 species
CUCUAAUAAGAAUGUAUUUGUCAUUUAUUUUGGGCAUGCACAAAGAGAAAGAUAGAUUCUUCUUAGAGUUCGAAGUCAGAUUACUAUUCUUUUUGAGGAGAUCCUGACACCCCAGUGUUAACUAGUUAGCAGUUAUUAAUGUUCAUAAAUAACCUUUUGAUAACAGGAGGGAACAUAAAAUUAAUACAACAUACUUAAUAACUAAACUAGGUACUUUAACCCAAGUACAGUCAUGCACCACACAAUAUUUCGGUCAGUGACUGCAAAUACACUGAUGUUCUUUAAAAUUAUAACAUCAGCAGGAAGCAGUGGCUCAUACCUGUAAUCCCAGCACUUUGGGAGGCCAAGACAGGUGGAUCACCUGAGACCAGGACUUCAAGAUCAGCCCGACCAACACGGUGGAACCCCAUCUCUACUAAAAAAUACAAAACUUAGCCAGGUGUGGUGGCGGGCGCCUGUAAUCCCAGACACUCAGGAGGCUGAGACAGGAGAACUGCUUGAGCCUGGGAGGCAAAGGUUGCUGAGCCAAGAUCCCGCCACUGCACUCCAGCCUGUGC